rnacentral:rRNA from 1 species
AUUGAACGCUGGCGGCGUGCCUAACACAUGCAAGUCGAGCGGCAGCGCGGGAGCAAUCCUGGCGGCGAGCGGCGAACGGGUGAGUAAUGCUUCGGAAUCUGCCCAUGUAGUGGGGAAUAACCAGCCGAAAGGUUGGCUAAUACCGCAUACGACCUACGGGUGAAAGCAGGGGAUCGUAAGACCUUGCGCUAUUGGAUGAGCCGAAGUCGGAUUAGCUUGUUGGGAGGUAACGGCUCACCAAGGCGACAAUCCGUAGCUGGUCUGAGAGGACGACCAGCCACACUGGGACUGAGACACGGCCCAGACUCCUACGGGAGGCAGCAGUGGGGAAUAUUGGACAAGUGGGGCAACCCUGAUCCAGCGACGCCGCGUGUGU